AUACGGAGGAUGCAAGCGUUAUCCGGAUUUAUUGGGUUUAAAGGGUACGUAGGCGGAUUUGCAAGUCAGUGGUGAAAUCUCCCCGCUUAACGGGGAAACUGCCAUUGAUACUGUUAAUCUUGAGUACAUAUGAAGUGGGCGGAAUACGGUAUGUAGCGGUGAAAUGCAUAGAUAUGCCGUAGAACACCGAUUGCGAAGGCAGCUCACUAAAUUGUCACUGACGCUGAGGUACGAAAGCGUGGGGAUCAAACAGGAUUAGAUACCCUGGUAGUCCACGCUGUAAACGAUGAUCACUCGCUGUUGGCGAUACACUGUCAGCGGCUGAGCGAAAGCAUUAAGUGAUCCACCUGGGGAUUACGAUCGCAAGAUUGAA
rnacentral:rRNA from 1 species